CCUACGGGAGGCAGCAGUGAGGAAUAUUGGUCAAUGGGCGGAAGCCUGAACCAGCCAAGUAGCGUGAAGGAUGACUGCCCUACGGGUUGUAAACUUCUUUUAUAAAGGAAUAAAGCGAGGCACGUGUACCUUUUUGCAUGUACUUUAUGAAUAAGGAUCGGCUAACUCCGUGCCAGCAGCCGCGGUAAUACGGAGGGUCCGAGCGUUAUCCGGAUUUAUUGGGUUUAAAGGGAGCGUAGAUGGGUUGUUAAGUCAGUUGUGAAAGUUUGCGGCUCAACCGGAACAUUGCAAGUGAUACUGGCAGUCUUGAGUACAGGUGAGGCAGGCGGAAUUCGUGGUGUAGCGGUGAAAUGCUUAGAUAUGACGAAGAACCCCGAUUGCGAAGGCAGCUUACUAAACUGUGACUGACAUUGAUGCUCGAAAGUGUGGGUAUCAAACAGGAUUAGAUACCCUUGUAGUC
rnacentral:rRNA from 1 species